ensembl:rRNA 5S_rRNA 5S ribosomal RNA
GCUUACGACCACACCGGCCUGAGUACGCCUGAUCUCGUCUGAUCUCGGAAGCUAAGCAGGGUCGGGCCUGGUUAGUACUACGAUGGGAGACUUCCUGGGAAUACCAGGUGCUGUAAGCU